GCACAAAAGGCGUAACGAUCUGGGCACUGUCUCGGAGAGAGGCUCGGUGAAAUAGACAUGUCUGUGAAGAUGCGGACUACCUGCACCUGGACAGAAAGACCCUAUGAAGCUUUACUGUUCCCUGGGAUUGGCUUUGGGCCUUUCCUGCGCAGCUUAGGUGAAAGGCGAAGAAGGCCCCCUUCCGGGAGGGGCCGAGCCAUCAGUGAGAUACCACUCUGAAAGAGCUCGGAUUCUAACCUUGUGUCAGAGAACGGAAGAGCC